AAUAGAUACCCGGGUAGUCCUAGCCGUAAACGAUGGACACUAGGUGUUGGUGGUAUCAACCCCACCAGUGCCGAAGCUAACGCAUUAAGUGUCCCGCCUGGGGAGUACGGCCGCAAGGCUAAAACUCAAAGGAAUUGACGGGGCCCCGCACAAGCAGCGGAGCGUGGGGUUUAAUUCGAUGCAACGCGAAGAACCUUACCAGGGCUUGACAUGACCAGGAAUCCGGCGGAAACGUCGGCGUCCCGCAAGGGACCUGGCCACAGGUGUUGCAUGGCUGUCGUCAGCUCGUGUCGUGAGAUGUUGGGUUAAGUCCCGCAACGAGCGCAACCCUUAUCCUAUGUUGCCAGCGGGUAAUGCCGGGGACUCGUAGGAGACUGCCGGGGUCAACUCGGAGGAAGGUGGGGAUGAAGUCAAGUCAUCAUGCCCCUUAUGCCCAGGGCUGCAAACACGCUACAAUGGCCGGUACAGAGGGCUGCGAUCCCGUGAGGGUGAGCGAAUCCCACAAAGCCGGUCUCAGUUCGGAUUGGAGUCUGCAACUCGACU
rnacentral:rRNA from 1 species